AUAAACAGCCGUCAAAACAACAUCAUCAAUGGCAAUGAACGCUGUUCGAUUGUCGCCGGCGACUCAGCUUCACGGCGGAAUCUCUAGCAGUCUGUUACCAUCCAAUCGCAAACCUAAUAAUCCCAUCGUCCGAUACGGAUGCGGAUCUUCGAACCGUUGCCGUAUGGUAACCGUCUUGGCGUCACUCCGGGAAAAUGAUGGAAAUGGUAGGGAUAACUCCGUGAGAGCUAUGGAAGUGAAGAAGAUUCUUGAAGACUCGCCUCUGCUUCCUAAGCCGUUAUCAUCAAACCAGCUCGCGGAAUCUGUCUCUAAUGGCUCCCGCGUUCGUGUUGCGUAUCAGGGAGUACGUGGUGCAUACAGCGAAUCAGCUGCUGAGAAGGCUUAUCCAAACUGUGAAGCUGUUCCAUGUGAAGAGUUUGACACUGCUUUUGAGGCGGUUGAGCGGUGGCUUGUUGACCGAGCUGUUUUACCGAUUGAGAACUCUUUAGGUGGAAGCAUCCAUAGAAAUUAUGAUCUUCUGCUGCGACACAAUUUGCAUAUUGUAGGCGAAGUCAAGCUAGCUGUUCGCCACUGUUUGCUGGCUAACCAUGGUGUAAAUAUUGAAGAUUUGAGAAGGGUGCUUAGCCAUCCACAGGCUCUUGCCCAAUGUGAAAACACGUUAACUAAAUUGGGGUUGGUCAGAGAAGCAGUAGAUGACACUGCUGGCGCUGCCAAGCAAAUUGCAUUCGAAAAUUUAAGUGAUGCAGCAGCAGUUGCCAGUGCAGAAGCUGCAGAGAUAUAUGGUUUGAACAUAGUUGCUGAAGAUAUCCAGGAUGACUGUGAUAAUGUUACAAGGUUUCUAAUGCUCGCAAGGGAACCCAUUAUCCCUGGAACUAACAGACUCUUUAAGACAAGUAUAGUUUUCUCGUUAGAGGAAGGACCUGGAGUACUUUUCAAAGCACUUGCUGUGUUUGCCCUUAGGCAAAUCAACCUCACAAAGGUUAGUAACUUAAUUGAAAGCCGCCCUUUAAGGAAACAUCCUCUCCGAGCAUCUGGAGGACUAAAAUACUUUGAUUAUCUUUUCUAUGUGGACUUUGAAGCAUCUAUGGCUGAUGAAGUUGCUCAGAACGCACUUAGGCAUCUCGAGGAAUUUGCUACCUUCUUGCGGGUACUGGGAAGCUACCCAGUGGACACUACAAUGCUCUAAACAAUUUCCAACAUGGUCUUGGUAAGCAGUUCAAUUGGUUUGCAUUGCAAAGUGUAAUGUAGAUCCGCUUGAUGAUAUCAUUAUUCUGGUGUAAGAAGCUCUACUGUCUAUAGCCGUGAAGUGAGGUCCGAGGAGUCACAAGUGCAUCUUACAAGACAUUCCGCUUUUGUUACAAGUUCUGAGGUCCAAGGAGUCACCGGUGCACCUCUUUUUUUUUUAGUAGAAGUAAGAAUAGUCAGAUAUCAAAAACAAUCACCAAAGAACCUAGUUUUUUUGUGUGUGUGUUUACCAUACAAUACAUAGAUACUUUAUCCAAUAUGUGGCUUUUUUAGAAAUUCCUGUGAGAGUUAUUUGCAUAAUACGAGUAUUAAAAUUUGAUACC